rnacentral:sRNA from 1 species
CAACAAGGUUUCCGUAGGUGAACCUGCGGAAGGAUCAUUACAGAGUUCAUGCCCGAAAGGGUAGACUUCCCACCCUUGUGUAUUAUUACUUUGUUGCUUUGGCGAGCUGCCUUCGGGCCUUGUAUGCUCGCCAGAGAAUAGCAAAACUCUUUUUAUUAAUGUCGUCUGAGUACUAUAUAAUAGUUAAAACUUUCAACAACGGAUCUCUUCGUUCUGGCAUCGAUGAAGAACGCAGCGAAAUGCGAUAAGUAAUGUGAAUUGCAGAAUUCAGUGAAUCAUCGAAUCUUUGAACGCACAUUGCGCCCCUUGGUAUUCCGGGGGGCAUGCCUGUUCGAGCGUCAUUUCAACCCGCAAGCUUAGCUUGGUAUUGAGUCUAUGUCAGUAAUGGCAGGCUCUAAAAUCAGUGGCGGCGCCGCUUGGUCCUGAACGUAGUAAUAUCUCUCGUUACAGGUUCUCGGUGUGCUUCUGCCAAAACCCAAAUUUUUCUAUGGUUGACCUCGGAUCAGGUAGGGAUACCCGCUGAACUUAAGCAUAUCAAUAAGCGGAGGA